CUACGAGCGGCAGCAGUGGGGAAUAUUGGACAAUGGGCGAAAGCCUGAUCCAGCCAUGCCGCGUGUGUGAAGAAGGCCUUCGGGUUGUAAAGCACUUUCAGUGGGGAAGAAAGCCUUGGGGCUAAUACCCUCGAGGAAGGACAUCACCCACAGAAGAAGCACCGGCUAACUCCGUGCCAGCAGCCGCGGUAAUACGGAGGGUGCGAGCGUUAAUCGGAAUUACUGGGCGUAAAGCGCGCGUAGGCGGUCUGAUAAGCCGGUUGUGAAAGCCCCGGGCUCAACCUGGGAACGGCAUCCGGAACUGUCAGGCUAGAGUGCAGGAGAGGAAGGUAGAAUUCCCGGUGUAGCGGUGAAAUGCGUAGAGAUCGGGAGGAAUACCAGUGGCGAAGGCGGCCUUCUGGACUGACACUGACGCUGAGGUGCGAAAGCGUGGGUAGCAAACAGGAUUAGAUACCCGAGUAGUC
rnacentral:rRNA from 1 species